rnacentral:rRNA from 1 species
UAGGGAAUCUUCGGCAAUGGGGGGAACCCUGACCGAGCAACGCCGCGUGAGUGAAGAAGGUUUUCGGAUCGUAAAGCUCUGUUGUUAAGGAAGAACGAGUGUGAGAAUGGAAAGUUCAUGCUGUGACGGUACUUAACCAGAAAGGGACGGCUAACUACGUGCCAGCAGCCGCGGUAAUACGUAGGUCCCGAGCGUUGUCCGGAUUUAUUGGGCGUAAAGCGAGCGCAGGCGGUUAGAAAAGUCUGAAGUGAAAGGCAGUGGCUCAACCAUUGUAGGCUUUGGAAACUGUUUAACUUGAGUGCAGAAGGGGAGAGUGGAAUUCCAUGUGUAGCGGUGAAAUGCGUAGAUAUAUGGAGGAACACCGGUGGCGAAAGCGGCUUUUUGGCCUGCAACUGACACUGAGGCGCGAAAGCGUGGGGAGCAAACAGG